rnacentral:lncRNA from 1 species
GGGCUUCUGCCCCAUCCUCUCCCCUCUCUCCCUCACAAAUGCAAGUGAGAGGGGUGGGUGAUGGGUCACGGGGAGGCCUGCUGGAGGUGGCAGGGUGAGCAGCCCGAGGGCGGGCCGCUCCUUCCAGGGCCUGCUUUGUCCUUGUUGAAAGGGUUCAUGAGUGAGCACCAGACUCUUCUAGAAACUCUGCCCCAGGCUGGGUGUGGCAGAAACACCAAGAUCAUUUCUCAGAAUUCUCAUGUGAGUAUAUGCCCACUCCACCUCUGCCCACUGGCUUGGGUGUCCAGGCUGAGAGACGGCCUUAGAAAAGAAAGGUCCCUUGCCAACACAGAGCAUGAGCCAGGCCCAGUCCCGGGUUCUUCACAGGCACGGCCUCCCUUCCUCCUCGAGGCCGCUGUACUACUGACACGGGGGCUGGAAUGUUCUUCGUUGUGUGUCUGUGCUGUGUGCAUUGUAGGAUAUUUAGCAACACCCUUGGCCUCUCCCCACUAGAUGCCAGUAGGUCAUGCACACCCUCCCUCCCAGUAUAACAACCAAACAUGUCUCCAGGCAUUGCCAGGUGUCCCCAGGAGCAAAACCUGUUUGAGAACCUCUGGCUUAGACAGGAGGUGUCCUAGGACUCUAGGACAGGCCCAUGUUUGAACCUGGAUCAUCUGCUCUUGCUGCUCUUGAUCAUCUUCUCUUUGUGGAGAGAAGUCCCCUUUGAGAACCUGUCCCCAGAACAGGGCUCCCACCUUCAGUUUCAAGGAGCGUAUGGCCCCCAGGUGCUCAUUCAUGAGGGACUGUUCAGAACGUCCGCCUGGAAUAUCUGGACGGGAGGCAGCCUGCCCUGCCCCCACGGACCCCCACGCGAAGGCCUGGGCACUGGAGGGGAUGGGUCUCCCUGACUCACAGCCGCUGGACGUCACCUGUAGUUGUCUCAUCCCAGAAGGUAUUUGCGACCUCAGCACUCACCCAAGCAUGCCUGCUCCUGAAGGCAGGAGGGUGUGCCCCGUGAACUCAGCAGGGGGCCUUUGGAUCUGGGUUCCAGAUCGCGAUGAUGCGGGCAGUGGUGGAGGAGCUUCAAGACUCCAGGAACUUCC